GAUGAACGUAGCGAAAUGCGAUAAGUAAUGUGAAUUGCAGAAUUCAGUGAAUCAUCGAAUCUUUGAACGCACAUUGCGCCCGUCAGUAUUCUGGCGGGCAUGCCUGUUCGAGCGUCAUUACGCCCCUCAAGUCCCCUGUGGACUUGGUGUUGGGGAUCGGCGAGGCUGGUUUUCCAGCACAGCCGUCCCUUAAAUUAAUUGGCGGUCUCGCCGUGGCCCUCCUCUGCGCAGUAGUAAAACACUCGCAACAGGAGCCCGGCGCGGUCCACUGCCGUAAAACCCCCCAACUUUUUAUAGUUGACCUCGAAUCAGGUAGGACUACCCGCUGAACUUAAGCAUAUCAAUAAGCGGAGGA
rnacentral:misc_RNA from 1 species